rnacentral:rRNA from 1 species
CCUACGGGGGGCAGCAGUGAGGAAUAUUGGUCAAUGGACGCAAGUCUGAACCAGCCAUGCCGCGUGCAGGAUGACGGCUCUAUGAGUUGUAAACUGCUUUUGUACGAGGGUAAACGCAGAUACGCGUAUCUGUCUGAAUGUAUCGUACGAAUAAGGAUCGGCUAACUCCGUGCCAGCAGCCGCGGUAAUACGGAGGAUUCGAGUGUUAUCCGGAUUUAUUGGGUUUAAAGGGUGCGUAGGCGGUCGGGUAAGUUAGGGGUGAAAUCACGAGGAUCACCUUCGGAAUUGCCUUUGAUACUGUCCGGCUAGAGAGUAGGUGCGGUAGGCGGAAUGUAUGGUGUAGCGGUGAAAUGCUUAGAGAUCAUGCAGAACACCGAUUGCGAAGGCAGCUUACCGAGCCACUUCUGACGUUGAGGCACGAAAGCGUGGGGAGCAAACAGGAUUAGAUACCCUUGUAGUC